GACGAACGCUGGCGGCGUGCUUAACACAUGCAAGUCGAACGGAAAGGCCCUGCUUUUGUGGGGUGCUCGAGUGGAGAACGGGUGAGUAACACGUGAGUAACCUGCCCUUGACUUUGGGAUAACUUCAGGAAACUGGGGCUAAUACCGGAUAGGAGCUCCUGCUGCAUGGUGGGGGUUGGAAAGUUUCGGCGGUUGGGGAUGGACUCGCGGCUUAUCAGCUUGUUGGUGGGGUAGUGGCUUACCAAGGCUUUGACGGGUAGCCGGCCUGAGAGGGUGACCGGCCACAUUGGGACUGAGAUACGGCCCAGACUCCUACGGGAGGCAGCAGUGGGGAAUAUUGCACAAUGGGCGGAAGCCUGAUGCAGCAACGCCGCGUGCGGGAUGACGGCCUGCGGGUUGUAAACCGCUUUCGCCUGUGACGAAGCGUGAGUGACGGUAAUGGGUAAAGAAGCACCGGCUAACUACGUG
rnacentral:rRNA from 1 species